AUCCAGUUGGCGAGUCCGAAAUAGGACAAAAUGCGCAUCAAGCUGGAU
rnacentral:hammerhead_ribozyme from 1 species